rnacentral:rRNA from 1 species
UACGAAGGGGGCUAGCGUUGUUCGGAAUUAUUGGGCGUAAAGAGCUCGUAGGCGGUCUGUCGCGUCUGCUGUGAAAACUCGGGGCUUAACCCCGGGCCUGCAGUGGGUACGGGCAGACUAGAGUGCGGUAGGGGAGACUGGAAUUCCUGGUGUAGCGGUGAAAUGCGCAGAUAUCAGGAGGAACACCGGUGGCGAAGGCGGGUCUCUGGGCCGUAACUGACGCUGAGGAGCGAAAGCAUGGGGAGCGAACAGG